GGCCUAACACAUGCAAGUCGAGCGAGAAAGUCCUUUCGGGGAUAAGUACAGCGGCAGACGGGUGAGUAACGCGUGAGAAUCUGCCCUUUAGUGAAGAAUACCUCCGAGAAAUCGGGGUUAAUACUGCAUACGUCCCUUCGGGGAGAAAGAUGGCCUCUUUGCUGUCGCUAAAGGAUGAGCUUGCGUACUAUUAGCUAGUUGGUGGGGUAAAGGCCUACCAAGGCAAAGAUGGUUAACCGGCCUGAGAGGGUGUUCGGUCACACUGGAACUUAGAUACGGUCCAGACUCCUACGGGAGGCAGCAGUGAGGAAUAUUGCGCAAUGGGCGAAAGCCUGACGCAGCGACGCCGCGUGGAGGAUGACGGUUUUAGGAUUGUAAACUCCUGUUAAGUGGGAAGAAAUCCUUGCUUCUAAUAAAAGCAGGGGAUGACGGUACCAUUAGAGAAAGCAC
rnacentral:rRNA from 1 species